GCAUGUCUCAGUAUAAGUCUUAACACGGCGAAACUGCGAAUGGCUCAUUAACAUUGUUAUAGUCUACACCGUAGUCAAUGGUUAUAUGGAUACCUGCAGGAAUUGUGGAGCUAAUACAUGCGCAAAAAGCCGACUCCUGGGAAGGCUUGUAUUUAUUAGAUACAGAAUCCAUACGUUCGGGUUUUUUGGAUGAUUCAUAAUAAACGUAUGGGGCCCAUGGCGUGAGCCGGGGCUGUACGGUUCGAGUUUCUGACCUAUCAGCUUUCGUCGGUAGGGUAUUGGCCUACCGAGGCAUUGACGGGUAACGGAGUAUUAGGGUACGAUUCCGGAGAGGGAGCCCGAGAAACGGCUACCACAUCUAAGGAAGGCAGCAGGGGCGUAAAUUACCCAAUCCUGUUUUUUUGGAGGUAGUGACAAGAAAUAACAGAGGAGGACCUUAUUGGUUUUCCGUUUGGAAUGAGCAGAAUUUAAAUCUCUUUUCGACUAUCAAUUGGAGGGCAAGUCUGGUGCCAGCAGCCGCGGUAAUUCCAGCUCCAAUAGCGUAUGUUAAAGUUGUUGCGGCUAAAAAGCUCGUAGUUGGAUUUCUGUUGAGGACAUCUGGUCCGCUCUAUGAGCGUGCAUCUAGUUUGGCCUCGGCAUCCGCUCUGCAUACAUGUCUGCGCUUGAUUGCGUGGCGUGGAGGUAGGGCCUUUUACUUUGAGGAAAUUAGAGUGUUCACGGCAGGCAGUCGCCUUGAAUAUAUUAGCAUGGAAUAAUAAUAUAGGAUCUUGGUUCUAUUUUGUUGGUUUCUAGAGCUAGGAUAAUGAUUAAUAGGGACAAUUGGGGGGCAUUC
rnacentral:rRNA from 1 species